GACGAACGCGGGGGGCGUGCUUAAUCAUGCAAGUGGGACGCAAGAGGCACACUGUGCUUGCACACCGUGUUUUCUUGAGUCGCGAACGGGUGAGUAACGCGUAGGUAACCUGCCUAUAGCGGGGGAUAACUAUGGGAAACGAUAGCUAAUACCGCAUAAUAUUAAUUAUUGCAUGAUAAUUGAUUGAAAGAUGCAAGCGCAUCACUAGUAGAUGGACCUGCGUUGUACUAGCUAGUUGGUAAGGUAAGAGCUUACCAAGGCGACGAUACAUAGCCGACCUGAGAGGGUGAUCGGCCACACUGGGACUGAGACACGGCCCAGAUUCCUACGGGAGGCAGCAGUAGGGAAUCUUCGGCAAUGGACGAAAGUCUGACCGAGCAACGCCGCGUGAGUGAAGAAGGUUUUCGGAUCGUAAAGCUCUGUUGUAAGUCAAGAACGUGUGUGAGAGUGGAAAGUUCACACAGUGACGGAGCUACCAAAAGG
rnacentral:rRNA from 1 species